ACCAAAAAAAAUCAGCUGCUGUUGUCACCACCCCCCACUGAAGGAUUUGAGGGACGAAUUUUGCCAGGAAAAUUCAAUUUCCCAGCGGGAACGACGCGUGUGCAGAAGGAAUUCCUCCUUUUUGUAUGGUCAGCUCUGUAAAAAUGUAUAUAUUCUAUAGAUUUAUAGACAUUUACAGGUUUUCUACAUCCUCCCCAGCCCACUGGGGGUGGUUUUUUUGUUGGUUUUUUUUUGUACAUAAUUACAAAUUGGUUAUUUCCGCGCUGUCAGGAGAGGUUGAGGUUUUGGCAGAGUUUUUUUUUGUGCCAGGCUGGCACAAUUCGGGCACGCUGAGGUGGAGGAAAAUGUGAAUUUCCAGAGGGAAAAAAUCAAAAAUAAAACAAAAAAAAAGGAAAAAAAAAGAACCCACAAGCCUCAAACGUCAGCACAGGCGGUUCCCAGUGGGAUCAAAGCGGGAAAAAUCCACUCCAGCUGCCAAAAUGCAGGUCCUGGCAGCUCUGCGGGUCCUGGCAGCUCUGCUGGGAGCUCUGCAGGUCCUGGCAGCUCUGCUGGGAGCUCUGCAGGUCCUGGGCAGCCCGGCAGGUCCUGGCAGCCCCGUGGCAGGUCCUGGCAGCUCCAGCCUCACCGGAUCAGGUAGGCCAGGCUGGCCCCCAGGCCGGCCACCCCCGCGAAGGCCAUCAGAACGUUCCGGACGCUGCCCUCCAGGUCCUCCAGGCGGAAGAAGUCCACGAAG